GUGUCCUGGACAGUCUUAGCUCCUAAGAUUCCAAGACAAAGAAGAGAAAUUUUUUUCGAUUGCCGCCACAGAUUUGGAAAUUUUGUUAUUAAUUGAAAAUUUUCAAAUUUGUGUCCCUGAUGGGUAGGAAAGAGGAAAGUAUCUUCAAACCGGAGACCUGGCUCAAAUACUUGAACAGAAUGGACACCAAAGGUAGACUUCCAAGACAAUGCAAGAAUCCAUAAAUGCUCCGUAAAAGCGGUCAAAUAUCAGCUGUAUUGAUGAUGAUGAUGAUGAUGAUGAUGAUGAUGACAGCGACGACGACGACGGUUGCAUCAUUGAAUUACAGUUUGCGCCAAUUUCAAGUAUGUUUAGAGACGUGUGCACACUGCCAUCUGCCGGUAGACGUGCCAACCUCAUUCAAAUAUACGAAUUCAUUCAUUCAUUUAUUCAUUUGUUCAUUUACUCUUCUGACGAUGAGUCACGGAUACAGUCAAGCAAUUAAAGGAAUGCUGUUCAUCGCAGUGAAAGCGUUGAUAUAGAUUUGCCGCUUAUGAUCUAAGAAAAGAUGAGACAUUAGAUACAGAAUCAAUGAAGGGCGGAGAUCUGCUAUUAAGGGAGAUGGCGUUAGUACUGUUAGUGAUGAUAGAAGUGACCUUCAGGUUAUGUAUUUAAUCACUGUGUUUUGUUCAGCAAAUAUUAACCAUUUAAUAAUUUUCUUCUCAGGUAAAUACAAUUUGUAACAAUUAUAUUGUCUCUUGUGUAACACAGUCAAAAUAACUGAGGAGAAUAUUAGAAGUAGAAUUAGAGAGAGGUAAAUAUUUGUUUCUGUUUUUAUUAAUAUUUGACUAGUGUUAUCUUAAAAAAUAUCGUUUAGGCAGCCAUCUUUAAAAAUAGCAUUUUGGCAUCGACAUAAACGCUUGCCUAUAAUUUUAUCUGUUACUUGCUUCAGUCAUUGGACUACGGUCAUGUGGGGCACUGCUUUGAAGAGCAUAGGUGGAACAAAACGAUCCCUGUACUUUUCCUUAGAUCUGAUAUUUAUUGCGUCGGCUAGUUUUGCCGAACUGCUAAGUUACGGGGACGUGAACAAACCACCACCGCUUGACAAUCGGUGUUGGUGCGUUUGAGUUCCCCGUAACUUAGCGGUUCGACAGAAAAGUCUGAUAGAAUAAAAACCAGCCUUAAAAAUAAGUACUGGAGUUCAUUAAUUCGAUUAGAAAAUAUUUCAAGGCAGUACCCCAGCAUGACCGGUGCCUAAUAUCUCAAACAGGAUUAAAAAAAAAAAACUGUGGUUGUGUGGUAAGAAGCUUGCUUACCAACUACAUGGUUCUUGGUUCAGUCCCACUGCAUGGCACCUUUGCCAAGUGUCUUCUACUAACAGACUCGUGCCGACCAAAGCCUUGUGAGUGCAUUUGGUAGACGGAAACUGAA